rnacentral:lncRNA from 1 species
AGAAGGAGACUCCUCCGUUCUACGGAUGCGACAGAUGCAUACCUCAAGUCUCUGGUUGUACGCGAACCUCCAAGGCUGACAAAACAGAAUGAGGGUACCUGUAUCUGCACAACAAAAGUGUGCAGAAGAGUAGAAUGAGCGCACCACAGCGGUGCCCAAUAAGUAUCAAGACAAACCGAGAUGGAGUAGUAACGAGGGACAGUCAAGACAUCUGCCGGUCCAUAAACAGUACAAUCAUAGGGAUAAUACAAAUGAUAUAAAAUUAUAUAAAGACAGCAUGAAUGACUAAAAGAGCUACAAUCAUAAUAAAACUAAACGGACAAUAAGUAACAACGAGAAAUACACAAAUGAUGAUAAUAAAAGGACGGUAGACAUUACAGUCCAAAUCAUGAAGUCACAGCACAACAAGGACAGACAAGUUACUAACUCAUUAUUCUGCACUGCUCUUACAUAAGGUAUUCCAACUUUUGCCACAAUUCCACCACAACUCUCAUACCAGCCACAACCCAUAAAAACCCAAUAUCCGAGGUAUAACACUUGGCAUCUUGUGCCCCAUCAAUAGCACAGUCAUGUUGACAACUGACUAGUCAACUAGAGUCACUCUCACAUAUAAAAUGGGUAAACGAGGGCACAUCCCCAACCCUAGCCAAAUCAAGAUAGAUUCAUACCUAAUAGGAGGGUCCAACUACGUGUAUGCUUGUCCAAGUGUAUCUAACAGGAAUCCUACCAACCAGUAAAUAUAAGAAAUGGAAUGACUAGCACCCGAUUUAUUCACACUCGGGUAGAAUCAAUGAAAAUAUCAGUUCAUGACACAAUGAGUUUAACGGGGAUCUUCUAGGAUUUCGUCAUGUAGUCUCAAACAUAAACAUGUGCUAGGGAUCUCUUGGUAUCCUCAAUAGAUGUUCUGGGGAUCUCUUGGUAUCCCGAGGAUCUACUGAUAUCCUUAAUAUAUAUUCUAGUGAUCACUUGGUGUGCCGAGGAUCCCUUGGUAUCCUCAAUAGAUGUACUAGGGGUCUCUUGGUAUCCUGAGGAUCUCUUGGUAUCCUCACUAUAUAUGCUAGGGAUCUCUUGGUAUCCCGAGGAUCUCUUGGUAUCCCCAAUAGAUGCACUGGGGAUCUCUUUGUAUCCCGAGGAUCUCUUGGUAUCCUCAAUAUAUAUCCUAGGGAUCUCUUGGUAUCUUGAGGAUCUCUUGGUAUCUUCAAUAGAUGUAUUGGAACCUCUUAGUAACCCGAGGAUCUCUUGGUAUCUUCAAUAUAUAUGCUAGGGAUCUCUUGGUAUCCCGAGGAUCUCUUGGUAUCCUCAAUAGAUGUACUGGGGAUAUCUUGGUAUCCCGAGGAUCUCUUGGUAUCCUCAAUAUAUACGUUGGGGAUUUCCUGGUAUCCCGCAAUACAAAAUAAUCAACAUAGAUGUACAGUCCAAACAAUAGAAUAGUAAAUAUCCCAGUGAAGGAGUCGACAAUGGAAGACAAUAACAUCCCGGCAAGGGAGUCAAUAGUAGAAAAUAAUAACAUCCCGUCAAGGGAAUCAACAAGAGCUAGUAAGGUCACGGAAACACCAAGAAAAACAAAAUAAUCUUAACGAUAAAACAAGACACAAUAAGCACAUAAUAGCUACACCGAUACUAUAACAAUUGGACAUGUAAUAUAUUUGUACGAACAUAUGAACUUACAAUCAAGGUGCACCCAAUAGUAAGGAAGUUAACAUGAAUCAAAAAUUAAAAAUUUAAGGAAGUAUCAACUAAUUAUAUGAUAUCCAUCCUUUUUUCAAAUAAUACCGAUUAAUUACCUAAGAUAUAACAUUUAUGAUUUCCAAUUAAAGACGAGUAGUUAGAAUGGAUAAUAUGACUAUAGAAAGGGUGAUUAUCUUCAAUUAAACACGUAAGAAGUCAAUUAAACAACAAGAAUAAAUCAAGAAGAGCAAACAAUACCAAGUAAGAUAUGUAGAGGGGAAACUAAUAACAUGGAACUCAAUUGUAUCAAUAUCUUCUUCAAACUCAAUGAUUUCAAGAGUCUAAGGGUCUAAAAAGGGACAAUUUACCACAAAUAAAUUCGAUCACGCACUCGUCACCUCGCGUACACAGAAUGCAAUCAACAGAGAAGACUCAAAUCCUAAGGGAAAGUCCCUCCACACAAGGUUAGGCAAGACACUUACCUCAAACCGGCUAAAAUCAACUAGCAACCGCGUUCUUGCCAUGAGUUCUUGACUCCAAAUGGCCCAAAUCUAUUCAAUGAAAUCAUACAUUACAAUUAACAUCUCAAGCAACUAAUUCUAUAAUUUAAUUCAAAGCUAAAGAGCGAAAUCAGGUAAAAUAACCAAAAUACCCCUUUGUCCAAUGUCUCGGAACCGGAUGAAUUUAACAUUUUUAGAACCCUCGUAUUUUCAUGAGUCUAACUAUAUAGAAAUCUCUCAAAUCAGAGGUCAAUCACUCCCUCAAAACCCAAUAAUUCGGUCUAUGAAGUUCUACCCAUUUUUCAUUCAAAACUGAGAUUAAAGGAUGAAAUUAAGAGGAGAUUCAUGGGAGUUGGUCUAAAUCGAAUGAAAAUCACUUACCCAAGUUGCCCAGGUGGAUAUCCCUUCAAAAAUUACCAAGAACCGAGCUCCAUAAGUCAAAUAUGCGAAAUAAUGGUGAAACCCUCGAAAUUGGGAUUUAAAUCUGUACGCCAGUUAUUUGUUCUAUGUGAUCAAAGAGUAUGGGUUACGAUCACAUAGAGGAGCUUGAGAGGGCCCGGACUUUGUGCACUGUGUUCGCGUAAAAAAGGGAUGCGAACGUGGAGGGUUGAGAUGAUGGCGUAUGUGAUCACAGAGCGUACAAUGCGAAUGCAUUGAAGGAAAUAUGGGGGGACCAGUAAUUGGUCUAUACAAACACGGAAUGCAUAAUGCGAAUGCGAAGAAGGCCAAGAUAAGCCUAUGCGAUCGUGGAGGCCUGAUCGCGAUCGCAUAGAAGGUGUAACAGAAGCAGCAACAACAAUCCAAAAGCAAGGGGAAAUGACAUGUAGCCCAUGCAGAACACACCCGAGGCUCCUGGGACCUCGUCUAGUCACACACACAAGUCAUGUAACCUAACACGGACUCGCUCAAAGUUCCAAAUCAAAUAAAACAACAUUGAAAUGAUGAAUCGAACCAAAAAUCAAGCUAAUGAACUUUCGAAUCUUCAAAUAACGAAUCCCAUGCCGAAACCUAUCAAUUUAACUCGGAAUGAUGACAAAUUUUGCAGACAAGUUGAACAUGACAUAAUGGAUCUGUUCCAACUCUCGGAAUAACAUACUGACCCCGAUUUCCCAAAAGUCAAAUGUGGGUCAAACCUUUUCAUUUUCCAACUUCAUCUUUCGUUGAAAUGCCUCAAUAUACUCUACAGACCUCCAAAUCUGAAUCCGGAUGAUCACCUAAGUUCAAAAUCACCAUACGAAGCUGUUGAGAUCAUCUCGUUUACCCAAAAGUUCAGUUCCGGUUAAAUUUCUACCGUUCUAACUUCCAAAAAGGUUUCUUUACUAAAAUUGACUCUAAACCAUCCGAAAACCGAAUUCCACCAUGCACGCAAGUUGAUACUCAUGAUCUGAAGCUGCUCCCGACUUUAUACCGUUGAACGAAGUUUAAUUUCUCAAAACAACCGGUCGAAUCGUUACAUUCAUGAUAUGAGAAAAUUUUCAUUGUUGAAAUCAUGGGAGAGCUUAUCUGUCAUGGCAUAAUAUAUUAAUACAUACCAUAAAAUAAAAAAUAAUAAUUUCAUGUAUAUAUAUAUAUAUAUAUUAAAGGAAAAUAUUAUAUGUUACUACUAAUAAUUACUUAAAUGAUUAAAGAGAGGGGAAGAAACUAGUUCUGAGUUUAACGUCGCCGGCUCGACUUUUUUUAAAAAUUAGGCAAAAAGGAUUGUUAAAGCAUGUUUGUCGAAGAGUCUACUGAUAUAAGGCUUCAAACGAUGACCGUUUACUUUGAAUUUGCUCCCCCAUCUACAUGUUGUACUUCAAUUGCACCAUAGGGGGUCACUCAUGUUACUGUAUAUGGUCCUGUCCAGCGUGACUUAAACUUUUUUUGAAAAUAAUCUCAAUCGACUAUUAUACAACAGAACAUGAUCUCCAACUUUAAAAUCUUUAUGGCAGAUGAGCCUGUCAUGCCCUUUUUUAUCUUUUCCUUGUACAAUUUAACACUUUUAUAUGCUGUAAGCUUGAACUCUUCCAACUCAUCAAGCUGCAAUAGACGAUUUUACCUGCAUCUAGCAAGCUUAGAUUCAACAAUUUUAUAGCCCAAUAUGCUUUAUGUCCUAAUUCUACAGGUAAAUGACAAGUUUUUCCAAAACACUAGUCUAUGAGGAGAUGUACCUAUGAGAGUUUUGAAAGCAGUUAUGUAUGCCCAUAAAGCGUCAUCUAACCUUAGAGCCCCAUAAUUUUGCAUUUUUUGGCGAGGCUCAUCUCAUUUUUAUUAUUUAAAAGGAUAAACCUUAGGCAACUACAUAUUUCUACUUUGCGAGGGCCAUAAAAAAUUCAACCAAUGACACACUUCGAUUUCUAAAGAGUUUUAUUAAUAAAAUCAAGUAUAACGGCAAUGAGCGCAUUUAAAAACGACAAUUAGAUACACUUACUAAAUAGCUUAUAUCCGCCACCCCAUACAAUUAUCACGUGCCACCUAAUUUUGACUAACCAAACCCCAAAAAUAUCAUAGAAAAUAUUUUCUAAACUAAAAUAUGCAUACAUUUUCCCACAUAGCUAACUCACAAGAUUUGGACAAAGGGAACCAUGGAGGAUGAUUAUACUAAUUCAAAUUAAGUGAAGCUUUUGACAGAUAAUUAAGUAAAGCCCCCAAUCAAUAAUAAUAAAUUUGCAUCAUAGUUUACUUAAUACAACGGCAAUCAUGCGUUUCCAGCAAAUCCGAGCCCCAAAACGUUAACACACAAUUUGAGUAGUAGGCUAUUUCCAAAUCAGUUCUCCAAUGUAUACAAUGUUAACACUGGAAAGUCAAAUAAUUAGAGCAAUUGUAAUAUGCAAGCUAAACACAAAAUUAGUCAUUGCUCUGAGAACAAAACCCGAACAAAAAUGCAACUUAACAAAAUCUCAAUAUUUAUCAACACCUCAACUGACGGACGAAUUGAUCUUAAAUGAAUGGAUAAGCAGCGACAAAAAUGUUAAACAAUAACACAAGAAAUGAUUGAAUCAUGUUUAUCUAUGUCGAGCAAAUGUACAGAGCAUAAAAAUGAUUUCAAAGAAAUUAUUGCAACGAGAAAAGGAACGGACCUCGAAACAAAGUCAUUUUCGAAUCUGAAAAUACUUAACACUGGAAACCUUAGGCAGAGGCAAACUCGACGGACCUUAGACAACGACCUCCGGCAAACUCGAGCGGCGAAUCCAACAAACAGAACCUCGAUGGCAGCCACGAACACCCGUAUUCUCGUGUUUUCAAAUUCCGUCGAGCCAGUAUUGAAUAUUUCUUUACCCAGGAUAUGCGUGCGUGUGUGUGUGCAUUGGGUUGCAUCAAUGGCUGACGAGAUGAAGCAGCAGUAGCUGGUGGGUCUGCUGACCAGAAAACUGCUGCUGGUGCGUUUGUUUCUACCGAAUUUCCGGCGAGCUCGCUGGUGAGAUGGUUAUCGUGAAGGAGUCAUUUGUUAAGGGAGAUGGGGUGCUGAGUUUGACAUGAAGAAAGGCGAGGUAGUUGGUGGUUUGUUCAGGAGAUGGCUGCUACGGCUGGUUGACGACGCAGCAUUCGGUUCGGUGAAGAAGAUGAAGCACGACGAAGGCUGGUCGUGGGGGACAAUUUUCGGUUGCUGAUGGGCGGGGGUUAUGGUGAUGCUAUGGUUUUUCCAUGUUAGUUCUUUAAGGUUUUUUAGUUGGAGAAGAUGAAGUCAUCUUCAUUGUAUCUAAGGUCUAAGGUGUAAGGGUCUGUCCAAGCUCUCCGGGCCUCUUACGGCUGAUGCUUAAGGUUAGUUUUAUAGGUAGAGUAUUAGGGUAGGUUAGUUUUAGGGUUUUAGGGUAUUGGCCUUGGGUUAUCAGAAUUUUUGGCCUAAAAAUAGGUCAUUUGAAC